rnacentral:rRNA from 1 species
GAUCCUGGCUCAGGACGAACGCUGGCGGCGUGCCUAAUACAUGCAAGUAGAACGCUGAAGGAGGAGCUUGCUUCUCUGGAUGAGUUGCGAACGGGUGAGUAACGCGUAGGUAACCUGCCUGGUAGCGGGGGAUAACUAUUGGAAACGAUAGCUAAUACCGCAUAAGAGUAGAUGUUGCAUGACAUUUGUCUUAAAGUAGGCAAUUAGUCAUCACUACCACGAUGGACCGUCGCGUUG